AUGGCUCCCAUUGCUGGGUUGCUUAAUCCUCUUGCAGUGACCGUUCCAGUUGAGGCGGUUCUGUUUGACAUUGAUGGCACCUUGUGCGACUCAGAUCCUCUUCAUCACGUCGCUUUCCAAGAAUUGCUACUUGCGAUUGGGUACAACAAUGGUGUGCCGAUUGACGAUGAGUUCUUCAUAAACAACAUCGCUGGAAGAAGCGAUGCUGAAGCUGCCCAGAAUUUGUUCCCAGACUGGCCCCUCGAAAAGGGGCUGAAAUUCCUAGAGGACAAAGACGUCAAAUACAGAAGUUUGGCGAUGGAGCGCCUAGAGCCUGUAAAGGGCCUCCACAAGGUGGUACAGUGGGUGAAAGAUCACGGCUACAAGCGUGCCGCAGUAACCAAUGCCCCAAGGAUCAAUGCGGAGCUCAUGAUCAAACUUCUUGGUCUAUCAGACUUCUUCCAGGCCGUGAUUGUUGGAGGCGAAUGCGAGCAGCCAAAACCCGCCCCCUUUCCAUACCUGAAGGCCCUCAAGGAGCUCGAAGUGUCCGCAGCACACACCUUCAUCUUCGAGGAUUCCGCUUCAGGGACACGCGCAGGUGUUGCCGCGGGGAUGCCCGUCGUCGCCGUCUCGACGAGGAACCCGGUGAAGUCCCUACAGGAAGCUGGGGCCGCAUUGAUCGUCAGUGACUAUGAAGACCAGAAGCUGUGGAACGCGCUCGAGGAGAUCGACAGAGAGGAAGCGAAGCUAAAGAAUGGUGGAGCGUGA
rnacentral:rRNA from 1 species